ACGGGGGGCGCAAGCGUUAAUCGGAAUUACUGGGCGUAAAGCGUGCGUAGGCGGCCGAGCAAGUCAGAUGUGAAAGCCCCGGGCUCAACCCGGGAAUUGCGUCCGAAACUGCCCGGCUAGAGUUCGGCAGAGGAAGGUGGAAUUCCGCGUGUAGCGGUGAAAUGCGUAGAGAUGCGGAAGAACACUAAUGGCGAAGGCAUCCUUCUGGGCCGACACUGACGCUGAGUCACGAAAGCGUGGGGAGCAAACAGG
rnacentral:rRNA from 1 species